rnacentral:lncRNA from 1 species
CAUAUAAAAGAUUGUUGUUGUAUCGUUGAAACAAAUUAGUCUUACGAAAACGUAUCAAAAUGUAUAUUCUAGAAUCCUAACGGUAUGACGUGCAUGUUAGUUGUUUUACUCCCUUAUUACUCGAUCAUCACCAUAAGUCAUACCUUAUUUUGUUGGUUAAACAAAUCAAUCACUCAAAAACAUUUGAAGAGAAUAGUUGGACAUGUGUUAGUUAGGUGUGCUGUACUCACCAAUUCGGUCAAAGAUAAGAAAAGUAUUAAGCAUAAUUGGCUGUGGAAUGAACUUUCCUUUUCCAAAAAGGUUAGCUUCACGAGUACGGAUGGCACUCCUUGUUCUUUUCAUUCAAAGUCCGUACGAUUUGUUGAUUUGUUGAUUUGUUGAUUUUUGAAUUAGUUUUAGACCUUCUUUAGAUUUUUCAUGUGUCAUCUUCAUUGUUCCUUUUUAAUUAGUUUUACAUCAAACAUAUAUGUUUUUCUUUUCUAUUCAAGCACUGUGGAUAGAUGAGAAAACCGAGCACAUUGGUUCGUACAAGGAUAACUAUUUUUAAAUACUUGAACUGUAAACUUAGCGUGUAAUGUAUUCAUCUACUAGAAACAAUAUCUAGAAACUCCACACUCUAGGGCGGAGCCAAAGCUAGGGUGAGCUCCAAGUUAAUUAAGAUUUUAGUGCUAGUUCUUAAGAAGUUAAUUCCAUCAAACUAAAAAUUGGCCCAUCCUGCCUUAACAACUCUUGAGACAAAGAAAGUUGCUAAAUCACGCAUAAUAGACAGAAAAAAGAAAAAUUAUAAUCAACGUCAUAAAAAUUUCUAACUCUGCUCUUUAGACUAUUCUUUUGAUGAUUUGCUUUAUUAAAUGUGG